rnacentral:rRNA from 1 species
CCUACGGGAGGCAGCAGUAGGGAAUCUUCCGCAAUGGACGAAAGUCUGACGGAGCAACGCCGCGUGAGUGAUGAAGGUUUUCGGAUCGUAAAGCUCUGUUGUUAGGGAAGAACAAGUGCAAGAGUAACUGCUUGCACCAUGACGGUACCUAACCAGAAAGCCACGGCUAACUACGUGCCAGCAGCCGCGGUAAUACGUAGGUGGCAAGCGUUAUCCGGAAUUAUUGGGCGUAAAGGGCUGGCAGGCGGUUUCUUAAGUCUGAUGUGAAAGCCCCCGGCUCAACCGGGGAGGGUCAUUGGAAACUGGGAAACUUGAGUGCAGAAGAGGAGAGUGGAAUUCCACGUGUAGCGGUGAAAUGCGUAGAGAUGUGGAGGAACACCAGUGGCGAAGGCGACUCUCUGGUCUGUAACUGACGCUGAGGAGCGAAAGCGUGGGGAGCGAACAGGAUUAGAUACCCUGGUAGUC